AUGCCAGGUCUGACUCACCAGGUAACGGAAGCUAGCAGUUCAGUUGCCAUGGAGUCCCAAGGCUGUAGGAGGGGCCUCAACCAUCUAAUUUUCAAUGAAGGAGUAGAUAUAGACCUCAUCACUACAGACCGGGCCACAUCAGUUCGGAAAAUAAUGAGGGAGGAAUUCCAGAAUGUUCACCAUGAAUUUGAUCCUUGGCAUGAAUCAAACGGAACUGAAGUGACGGUGGACCUCAGUCCUCCACCACAUCUGUGGGGAGCACACAUGGGAGCAAGAUGGAAGAAAGUGGGCAUGCCCUCACCCUGCUCUAAACCCAGAUCAGCAAAGGACAAAGCGAUGGCUCCAGCCAGAGUCUCAAGUGUUCAAGUCUUUACGGAAUAUUGUUGAAGAUAAAAGACUUCUGAAAGACCUUGAGCAGAUGACUCGCUUCAAACAUACAGGAUCUUUGGAGGUGUACCACAACGUUAUGCUAAAAUAUCUGCCUAAACGACUGCAUUUUCGGUACGACACCAUGGUAGCCCGAACACAACUAGCCAUCCUGGACAACAAUUACAAUGUCGGCCGACAGCAGACAGAGACUUCUGAAGGUAUUGAGAUUUCAUAAGUAAGCCCCUAAAUGUGUUUGUAACAACUUGGCUAAGAAAUAAUGUUCUCUGUGUAGGACUUCCAAGAUACAGUAUGGUGUUCCCAAAACAGAGCAAGGAAUGGGUAGCCAAGAAGAUCUAUGAGCCUACAGGUCAGUACUUCACGCAACACCUUGUGAAACUCGUGUUGGAGAGAAGGGAGGAAAGAACACCGGAAGACAUACCACAUGUCCAGCGGCCUGCAAACAUUGCCACUAAGGAGAGACCCCCCAAGGAAGAUGUAAUCUGGAAACAUCAAUCCAGAUUCCCUCGCCACACUGAUGCUUGAAAAACCAAGGAUCCAGAUGGUAAAUUUGUUUAUGUCAGAAUCAGAAUCACUUUUAUUACACCUUAUUGUACAGUAGGCUACACAAGAGCAAAAUUAUUAGGCUUGGUUCCUCAACAUACACAUAGCUGCAAGUAAAAAAUAUAAAAUAAGUAUAAAAAUAAAUAAGUAGCAGCAUCAAUAAUAAUAAAGUAAUGAGGUGUAAUAAAGUGUGAAGUGUAGGGUGUUCAAGUGGUAGUGUUGUAAAUAUGUUUGUAAAUACAGUCGGCUUAUGUCUACCUUUACCCAUUAGGAAAACAUGUUUAGGCCUACAGACACUAGUGUGCACUUUCUAAAUAAAACUGCAAAGAUUUUUGAACAAAAGUUUUUUAUUGAGAAGAAAUUAAAAAGUAAACGCAAUGCAGUUAGGUAGGAACAUAAGGUAGGAACAGAAGGGUAAGAUAUACAUUGGAAUAAGAAUAAAAAAGAAUGAAUUCAGAAUAAUUCCUCUAUCUCACUGGGUUUAAACCCAGCAUACUGUCCAGUGGGGGAUGGGAAUGCAUCCCUAACAGCCCACACCACGCAACUGGGUAAUCCAAGGCGAUUUCCUCGUCCCAGUGGUUAUCCUUUGAGGGCCCACUCCAGAAUGACUCGAUAAGCCACAAGUCGGUAUUGCCUGAGGGUAACAAAACAUGGAUAGAGCAAA
ensembl:lncRNA